UACGGCCCCCAAGGUCAGCUGUGGGAGAGCCUGCUCAGAGACGAGCUGCAGAACGGUGCCGUCAGCCGGGUCGAGGUCACCAGCUACGGCAUGGACCAGCUGCUGCCCCGGACCGACCCGGACGUCAUCCAAGACAUGGUCAGCUCACAUCUGCAGGUGGUCAUAAUGACACCGGAUCUCUUGCACAUGAUCGAGGCAGAACCUCAAAUGGGUCGCCUGUUCCUCCGAGACCGCACGAUGUGCCUCCUUGUGGGCGUCACCGAGGACCAGAUUUACGACAGGAACGUGGAAGGUCUGCAGUCGUUUCCAGCGUGGACAAAGCACACGGCAAGAAAUGAAGAUUGGGACUGUUUUUCACGCUUCAUCUCCACUGCAUAUGCAAGUCUGAACGACAA